GAGUUUUUAGUCCAGUGAGAGACUCUUAAAGACUCCAAGAGGAAGUCUCUAUGUAAAAUUUUGUCACUUCACUUCUGACUCUUGCCUGAUUCUAGAGGAUUGGGUCUUCAUUUUCCAAUAGGAUGUUUUUCUUAUGUUCUGAAACUGCUUUUCCAUAUUUUGAGUCAGCUACUGAGAAAGUAUCCUAAACACUUACAUAUAAAGAAAAGCAGUUUAUUACUGAAGAUAAGAUAGGAAUACUACAUCAAGCAAGGCAAUGAAGAAAAUAACAUGUCUUAAAGAGAUAGCUGAAGGUGAUGUGGAGAAUGAAUUGGAGGUUAUGUUAGGGACAAGAAACCAGUUAAAAGACCGUGGUGGUAACCCACCUGCUUUAUUGUAAGGACCUGAGCUAAGACAGUAUGAAAGUAAGAAAAGUCCUUGGUGGCUCCUUUCACCAUAAUCCUUUCUACACUCCUGUAGUACAACUAAGGAAAGGGUCAGUGACUGGUUUGGAAUUGCUUUUUUUACAGAGGGACUGAAAAAUACAAGGAAUAAUCAGUUUACUCUUUAAACAUAGAGCCAAUUCUAUCAAGUUGUAUCUUUUCUGGUUCCUUUCUUACUUUUAACUUUUGUUCUGCAGCUUUCACAUUGAUUCUAUGAGCUCCCUGAUAAAUUCUUGCUUUUGCUUUAGGUAACCCAAACUGGUUCCUAGGGCUUACCAUCAAAAAACCCAAGUUGAGGCCCAGGCACAGUGGCACAGGUGGUAGGAACACCACUGUGUGAUACUGGAGCCACAUAGGAAGUCAAGGUUCAGAUCCUGGUCAUCUUGAACGUGCUGGACAUGCCAUGUGCACCUAGGAUCCUAUCUGACUGGGAAGCUAGAGGGAGCAUUGUGGCCUGUGGGGAUGACCUGACCGUGUUUGAAAAUAGAAGGGCAUCAAAUAAGCCUUUAAAAAGAGGGUGAACACUUCUGAGGAUUAAAACAAGGAAAUCUGAUAAGGUGACCAUGCUCUGGGAUUUUCAUAGUUUGAGUAAUUCUUAUGGGCUCUGCCACCCAGCAAGUUAAAGAAGACAAGAUUCUUCCCAGGGGGUUGUGGUUCUGGGAAUGUGAGCAGCUUGUUUUCAUGAGAUUUGCACCUUGAUCUGGCCUGCUGUUAGGAGCUGCAGUGGUUGUGUUUGUGUUGUUUUUAGUUUUUUUUUUUCCUUCCAUUUUACAUAGAUUUUUGUAAAUUAUUUGUAUAUAAAGAAUUUUUAAAAGUGAAUAUUUUAUGAGGAUGUUUGCUUAUAC